rnacentral:rRNA from 1 species
UUUGACCUCAAAUCAGGUAGGACUACCCGCUGAACUUAAGCAUAUCAAUAAGCGGAGGAAAAGAAACUAACAAGGAUUCCCCUAGUAACUGCGAGUGAAGCGGGAAAAGCUCAAAUUUAAAAUCUGGUAGCCUUGCUGCCCGAGUUGUAAUCUAGAGAAGCAUACUCUGCGUUGGAUCGUGUAUAAGUGUCCUGGAAUGGACCAUCAUAGAGGGUGAGAAUCCCGUCUUUGACACGAACCCCAAUGCUCUUGUGAUGUGCUCUCAAAGAGUCGAGUUGUUUGGGAAUGCAGCUCUAAAUGGGUGGUAAAUUCCAUCUAAAGCUAAAUAUUGGCGAGAGACCGAUAGCGAACAAGUACCGUGAGGGAAAGAUGAAAAGAACUUUGGAAAGAGAGUUAAACAGUACGUGAAAUUGCUGAAAGGGAAACGCUUGAAGUCAGUCGCGUUGGCUGGGGAUCAACCUUGCUCUUUUGCUUGGCUUACUUCCCAGUUGACGGGUCAGCAUCAGUUUUGACCGGUGGAUAAAGG